AGCACGGAGGUUUGAGUAAUUUGGGAUGACUUGCUGGGCCGGGCGGAUAACUCUCAUGCAAGGUCCAGGAACAGGAGGAAGUGGUUGCGAUGGCUCAGCAAAAUGUUGUUUGUGUUUAUUCCUUUCCAGGCAUGUCUCAAGAAACUGAGCAGUUUGGAGGCAUUUGCAGGAAAUUCUCAACUUUGGGGAUCCAAGAGGGAGCAAGGAAAUCUACGAAAACAACAGGAAUUGAGUCGGUAUAGGAGCCUGCCGAAUGACUGAUGCAAGGAGGAAGGAAAUGACUAGAAUAUGAAAUAACAGCAGGGAGAGGCUGUGCAUGCUCAGCGUGACCGACAAAGGCUGGUUUCUAAGCAAAAUCAUUUGCCUGCAUUUGAUGAGUAACCACGACCUCUUUAACUUCAGAGGUUCAGAGGUUUUGCAGCAGAGAGUCCAGCCACAUAACCCAAAAAUCUGAAAUUGUAAAAUGGACUGCAAUUAGAUGUUUAAAGAGCUUAAUAAUUGCAUGCUGUGCUGGAAACACGCCCUUGGUGAACGACGGCUGAGAUACACCCAGAGAACCUCCUGUGGGGUGAGAGGUGCUACUCACGUGGGCCUUGCGGGGGCUGCUGUGCUGGGCAGCGGUGCCUGAAGCAGCCGUGGGCUUGCGAGGGCGUGUUGGGAUGGGGCAAGUGAUGG